rnacentral:misc_RNA from 1 species
CGGCUGGAUUAAUCACAUUACUCCAACGUUCCGCGUUGCGCCGUUCGCGCCAGAUUUUCACUUCGGCUCAUUUGCGCUAAUUGUGCACGCGAUUGUCACUCAGGCUUGAAUAAACAACGGAGCGGCGGCAAGGAUUAGCCAACAAGCUAUGCGAAGAGUUGAACGGCGUGGGCGGGGCCGAGUCAGUGAGCAGCAUGAGCGGCAAGUGGACCGGAGGCUGCG